rnacentral:rRNA from 1 species
GCAAGUCGAGGGGUAACAUAGAAAAGCUUGCUUUUUUGAUGACGACCGGCGCACGGGUCGGUAACGCGUAUACAAUAUGCCUUAUACUGGGGUAUAGCCUUUAGAAAUGAAGAUUAAUCCCCCAUAGUCUCUAGCUAUGGCAUCAUAGCUAGAGUAGAGGUUACGGUAUAAGAUGAGUAUGCGUUAGAUUAGUUUGUUGGUGAGGUAACGGCUCACCAAGACUACGAUAUAUAGGGGCCCUGAGAGGGGGAUC